GUAAAAGAGCAACAACAAAAGGUAAUAAAAUAUACAACUUGGAGAGCACAGUCUGACUUGCAAAUAUAGCUUGUUGCUGCAGCAUAGCAGCCCCUACUGAAUGGAAAGCCGGUAGUCACCUGUGCUAAAAUGAGGUGGUCAGAGAGCACCCUGGGAAGCCUGCUAUUCUUCAAAGGCUUUCACCUGCAGCAAAAUCUGACUCAUGGCAGAAACUCAUGCUUGCAAGAGUGAAACCAUCAGCAGUGGUGCUUUAGCCUCUCUUUUGCCUUGUGUAACAUGUUCAUCCUGAGAGGCCUCUGUGGAGAAGCCCUUUUCAGCGUGGAGCCAAUACCAUCAGCAUCUGCCUUUCCAAAAGUAAAACAUUAAAUGAUGCAUCUCUUGAAGUGCGACGUUCAUUUGGAUCCAUGGGUUACAGCCUCCCACAGUCAAUGGGAGUCUCUGCACUGAUCUUGGCAGGCUCUGGACAGGUGUAUGCAGAGAAGACUGGCUUUGUCUCCAGAGCACCGACCAAGCUGCACCCCUCUCCUGUUAUUGAGAGCUAAACUCACGCAGUCGUUAUCCUCAGGUUCUUGUUCCGCUCCAGGUAGGAAUCAGAUUUCAUAUGUACAUCCUUACAUCCCUAUGCAAUCCUUGCUUGGUAGUAAUGCUUU